rnacentral:rRNA from 1 species
UACGUAGGGUGCAAGCGUUGUCCGGAAUUAUUGGGCGUAGAGAGCUUGUAGGCGGUUUGUCGCGUCUGCUGUGAAAUUUCGGGGCUCAACCCCGAACUUGCAGUGGGUACGGGCAGACUAGAGUGUGGUAGGGGAGACUGGAAUUCCUGGUGUAGCGGUGAAAUGCGCAGAUAUCAGGAGGAACACCGAUGGCGAAGGCAGGUCUCUGGGCCAUAACUGACGCUGAGAAGCGAAAGCAUGGGGAGCGAACAGG